rnacentral:rRNA from 1 species
GGUUAAGUGACUAAGCGUACACGGUGGAUGCCUUGGCAGUCAGAGGCGAUGAAAGACGUAGUAACUUGCGAUAAGCCCAGAUUAGGUAGUAACAACCAUUUGAGUCUGGGAUUUCUGAAUGGGGAAACCCACGUGCAUAAGCACGUAUCCUUACCUGAAUACAUAGGGUAAGGAGGCGAACCGGGGGAACUGAAACAUCUAAGUACCCCGAGGAAAAGAAAUCAACCGAGAUUCCGAAAGUAGCGGCGAGCGAAAUUGGACUAGCCCUUAAGCUUUACAUGCGUUAGACGAACGGUCUGGAAAGUCCGACGAUACAGGGUGAUAGUCCCGUAGUUGACGACGUGUGUUCAGUGAAAUCGAGUAGGGCGGGACACGUGAUAUCCUGUCUGAAUAUGGGGGGACCAUCCUCCAAGGCUAAAUACUACUGACUGACCGAUAGUGAACCAGUACCGUGAGGGAAAGGCGAAAAGAACCCCUGUGAGGGGAGUGAAAUAGAACCUGAAACCGUGUACGUACAAGCAGUAGGAGCAGGCUUUGUCCUGUGACUGCGUACCUUUUGUAUAAUGGGUCAGCGACUUAUAUUCAGUGGCAAGGUUAACCAUCUAGGGGAGCCGUAGGGAAACCGAGUCUUAACUGGGCGUUCAGUCUCUGGAUAUAGACCCGAAACCAGGUGAUCUAGCCAUGGGCAGGUUGAAGGUUGAGUAACAUCAACUGGAGGACCGAACCGACUAAUGUUGAAAAAUUAGCGGAUGACUUGUGGCUAGGGGUGAAAGGCCAAUCAAACCUGGAGAUAGCUGGUUCUCCCCGAAAGCUAUUUAGGUAGCGCCUCGGACGAAUACUACUGGGGGUAGAGCACUGUUAAGGCUAGGGGGUCAUCCCGACUUACCAACCCUUUGCAAACUCCGAAUACCAGUAAGUACUAUCCGGGAGACACACGGCGGGUGCUAACGUCCGUCGUGGAGAGGGAAACAACCCAGACCGCCAGCUAAGGUCCCAAAUUACUACUAAGUGGGAAACGAUGUGGGAAGGCUCAGACAGCCAGGAUGUUGGCUUAGAAGCAGCCAUCAUUUAAAGAAAGCGUAAUAGCUCACUGGUCGAGUCGGCCUGCGCGGAAGAUGUAACGGGGCUAAGUAGUAAACCGAAGCUGCGGCAAUACUCUUUGAGUAUUGGGUAGGGGAGCGUUCUGUAAGCGGUUGAAGGUGUGUGGUAACGCAUGCUGGACGUAUCAGAAGUGCGAAUGCUGACAUGAGUAACGAUAAAGGGGGUGAAAAACCUCCUCGCCGGAAGACCAAGGGUUCCUGUCCAACGUUAAUCGGGGCAGGGUAAGUCGACCCCUAAGGCGAGGCCGAAAGGCGUAGUCGAUGGGAAACGGGUUAAUAUUCCCGUACUUCUUACAAUUGCGAUGGGGGGACGGAGAAGGCUAGGUGGGCCUGGCGACGGUUGUCCAGGUUCAAGUGCGUAGGCUUGAGAGUUAGGUAAAUCCGGCUCUCUCUAAGGCUGAGACACGACGUCGAGCACCUACGGGUGUGAAGUCAUUGAUGCCAUGCUUCCAGGAAAAGCCUCUAAGCUUCAGAUUGUAAGGAAUCGUACCCCAAACCGACACAGGUGGUCGGGUAGAGAAUACCAAGGCGCUUGAGAGAACUCGGGUGAAGGAACUAGGCAAAAUGGUACCGUAACUUCGGGAGAAGGUACGCUCUUGAUGGUGAAGUCCCUUGCGGAUGGAGCUGACGAGAGUCGCAGAUACCAGGUGGCUGCAACUGUUUAUUAAAAACACAGCACUGUGCAAAAUCGUAAGAUGACGUAUACGGUGUGACGCCUGCCCGGUGCCGGAAGGUUAAUUGAUGGGGUUAGACUUCGGUCGAAGCUCUUGAUCGAAGCCCCGGUAAACGGCGGCCGUAACUAUAACGGUCCUAAGGUAGCGAAAUUCCUUGUCGGGUAAGUUCCGACCUGCACGAAUGGCGUAAUGAUGGCCACGCUGUCUCCACCCGAGACUCAGUGAAAUUGAAAUCGCUGUGAAGAUGCAGUGUACCCGCGGCUAGACGGAAAGACCCCGUGAACCUUUACUACAGCUUGGCACUGAACAUUGACCCUACAUGUGUAGGAUAGGUGGGAGGCUUUGAAGCACGUACGCCAGUAUGUGUGGAGCCGUCCUUGAAAUACCACCCUUGUAGUGUUGAUGUUCUAACGUCGACCCCUUAUCGGGGUUGCGGACAGUGCCUGGUGGGUAGUUUGACUGGGGCGGUCUCCUCCCAAAGAGUAACGGAGGAGCACGAAGGUGGGCUAAUCACGGUUGGACAUCGUGAGGUUAGUGCAAUGGCAUAAGCCCGCUUGACUGCGAGAAUGACAAUUCGAGCAGGUGCGAAAGCAGGUCAUAGUGAUCCGGUGGUUCUGAAUGGAAGGGCCAUCGCUCAACGGAUAAAAGGUACUCCGGGGAUAACAGGCUGAUACCGCCCAAGAGUUCAUAUCGACGGCGGUGUUUGGCACCUCGAUGUCGGCUCAUCACAUCCUGGGGCUGAAGUCGGUCCCAAGGGUAUGGCUGUUCGCCAUUUAAAGUGGUACGCGAGCUGGGUUUAGAACGUCGUGAGACAGUUCGGUCCCUAUCUGCCGUGGGCGUUGGAAGAUUGAAGGGGGCUGCUCCUAGUACGAGAGGACCGGAGUGGACGAACCUCUGGUGUUCGGGUUGUGUCGCCAGACGCAUUGCCCGGUAGCUAAGUUCGGAAUCGAUAACCGCUGAAAGCAUCUAAGCGGGAAGCGAGCCCUGAGAUGAGUCUUCCCUGAUACUUUAAGUAUCCUAAAGGGUUGUCGGAGACUACGACGUUGAUAGGUCAGGUGUGUAAGUGCUGUGAGGCAUUGAGCUAACUGAUACUAAUUGCCCGUGAGGCUUAACCAU